rnacentral:tRNA from 1 species
CAUAGAGUAGCUUAACAAAUUAAAGCAUCUGGCUUACACCCAGAAGAAUCCACAACCAAUGGACACUAUGA